GGGCAGGGCUUCGGAGGCCUCCGUGUAGGCCUCUGUGAAGCCUGAACUCGAUUAGGGCCCAAGCAAGCCAGGAAGGAGGAGGCAGCCAGAGUGGCCACCACUGUUCUCUGCAGCAGAAGACCCCUUGCUGCCCUGCCCAACCCAGCCCAGCAUUUGCCAGGGUUUUGAGGAUAAAAUGCUGGGGACCCUGUGUACUGUUCUGCAGGAAGGAGGGGUGAAAAGGUAAGUUUUCACAUUUGAUAAAUAAAAAGACCCCUGCUGGAUCAGACCAAAAGUCUAUCUAGGCCAGUUUUCUAGAGUGGCCAACCAGAUGCUCCAGAAAACCCACAAGAAGGAGAUGAAGGCAACAGUCCUCUUCUGCUGUUGCUCUCCAGCAAUUGGUUUUACAUGCUAUACUGCCUUUGAAUAUUGAAGUCCAUAUAGCCGUCAUGACUAAUAGCCAUUGACUGGUCUAAUCUCCUUUAAAAGUAUCUAACUUCUAAACCAUCACUUCAUCUUAUGGCAGGAAAUUCCAUAAAAUCAGUUGUGUGUUGUGUAAAAACAUACUGCCCAUACUGGGGCAGCCCAGCUUGGGUUAGGCUGGUCAUGAGAAGCUGCGGGAUCCCCACAGAUCCUGACGCUUCCCACCUGCCUAACCCUCCUAAGCAACAUGGCUGUUAACUGAGGUUAAAGAUGUGCUCCCUUAAUGUGGCUUCCAUGUAUCGUUUGUCUCCUCGGGCUGAGUUCAUCCCGAGAAGACACAGAGACAGGGGCAUAAAGAGUCCGUCUGAUGGGGAAAUCCUAAACAUGGAGCACGCGCCCACGACCGAGCCUUGGAUCAUCUGCAGGGAAGGUAAGCUCUUUGGAGCCUUCCCCAACCACCCACUCUCAGCAAUGCUCUAUUGAAUGAAGCUGAGGAGGGAGAAAGUGAAGCCAACACAGCAGCAGGAAGCCUUUGUGGGAAAGACUGAAACAAGAUCAGCGGUUUCCCUAAGGACCAAAAAAUAGCUGCAGCCAACCAGCACAGAGCAGGACCUGAAAAGAAGUUGCAGGCAGCUUGAAAUGUGUUAAAACACUAGUAGCGAUGCUGUUGGAAGCUCUGCUUUACUAAAUAGGUCAAAGAAAGAGGGUGUGAACCAUCUCUCUUUCCUGUAUACAUACUUGUCUUGCAAAAAGAAGAAGAAGAAGAAGAUAUCUCAGAAGGAAACCCUUGUGAGCAAAAGCAUACUGCAUUUUAGAAAGGACAGGGAACCCAGAAUUUCUACCAUGAAUGAGAAUCCUAUCCUCAGGAAUUACAGAGAGACCAAUCCCUUCUUCACAAGUUUUAAACCAAGUGAUUUUCCUCAAGAGCACCUAUAUUUCUCGUAAUUAUGAGGUUUUAAAAAAUGACACACUUUUUUUGGAAACUGAAUCUUGAAUAUCUUUGGGGGAAUGUUGCCUUCCCAUUGAACAUCACCUAAGCACAGACAGGAGGCUCCAGUGACGUGGCUGCCAUGCCCAUCCCAACAGCCAGAGAAGCCAAGAAGUACCCAUGCUCCAUCUCUGUGCGUCCCCCCUCCACUACACACCUGGAAGGCUCACUAUGUAUAAAGGGACCCGCUUGGAAGUGGAAGCCUCACCAAGCCUAUGGCGAUACUGAGCCUGUGAGCCAUAGAACUGUUAUGAUCAUCCUUCUUUGCCAAAAACACUUUCUGAAUGCAGUUGCAGAGAACAAACAUUUAUUUAGCUAGCAAAGGUAUUCCAGAUAAUCACUGUAAUUUUCUGUUAAAGCUUCCAUUUCAAUUUGCAUUUAAAGCGCUUUAUAAUUUUGCCACUUGAGUUUCUUGAUGGUGCAACACUAACAAUCAAGAGAGACAUUUAUCUCUAAACACCAGCAUCCACAAUGCUGUGAUUUAUAUAUACAGAUAAUACACAUCGUGGAGAGUUGGUGCUUCAGUCAUGGAUCGGGCAGGGGGAGGGGGAGACGGUGACGGCAUAUUUCAGCCCAGACAAAAUAUAUGACACCUUAAAAGUUGAAAAUCACAAGCAGGUAAACUGAAGGACCCUUCAAAUAGAUACAUUCUUUAGUAUAACAUGAAAUUUCUAAUAUUUUUCAAUAAUUGCAGAAUUUAUUUUAUUUUGUACGUUCUUCUUUAGGGAAAAAGCAAUAUUUAUAGUAGCAGAGGAACAUAAUUUACACAAUUCUAAUUCCUAUUACUAUUAGGAAAAUUAAUGCAAAUAAAUGAAACAAAAUAGCUCAUUGGGUUUAAGAUUCCCAUGCCAGUGACUUAAGUUGUAGUGGCCAAAGUAGCAUCUUGCCACUGAACUCGAGGGCAGGAGAGCUGGUCUUGUGGAAGCAAGCAUGAAUUGGACCCUUUGCAAAGCAAGGUCUGUCUUGGUUUGCAUUUGGAUGGAAGACUACAUGUGAGCACUGCAUUUGGAUGGAAGACUACAUAUUCCCCUUAGGGAAUGGGGCCAUAGCUCAAUGGAAGACGGCCCCAGCUUCACUUCCUGGUAUCUCCGGGUACGGCUAAAUGCCUACCUCUAGCCUUGGAGAGUUGCUGCCAGUCAGUGUAGACCAGGGUUGUUCAACUUCGGCCCUUCUGCAGAUAUUGUCCUACAACGCCCAUCAUCCCUAGCUAUUGGCCACUGUGGCUGGGUAUUAUGGGAGUUGUAGUCCAAAAACAGCUGGGGGGGCCUAAGUUGAGCAGGACUAGUGUAGAUAAUACUAAGCUAGAUGGACCAAUGGUCAGAGUAGCUUCCUAUGGCUUUUCAGUAGAGCAGAGGUGACCUUUUCUGCACACUUUGUGGGAAACCCAUAUCCAUUCGUUAUGAUCUCUGUGGCCUUGAUGAGGGCCUAAAGCAGGGUUGCCACAUGUCCAGGAUUGGCCUGUACAGUACAGGAAUCAGGCAUUCUGUCCAGGAGGUAGGGAAAGUGUCAUCCUGAAUAUGAAAUGUCCAGGAAUUUGAACGGGAAGAUUGCUGCAACAAAUUCUAUUCAUUUUUUCUGGUGCAUCCCUCCAGGCAUUGAAGUCACAUUUUGUCAGUACUUCAAGAGUCCCUUAUUCUGACCCUUUGUCUGGCACCAGCACUGCUGAUUCGUUAGGUUGGCUAUCUAUGUAUGACUCUUCCCCCUAUGUAUGACUCAAUUCUUUCCCCCAUUUCUGGGUUGUCCCUAGAGCUAGAAAGGGUGGCAGUGGACCUCUGGGUUUAGCUAUGGAGUAUAUAUAGAGAGAGCCCCCUUUUCUAUAGUCCAAUGGUACAUAAACAAUAAUCAUGUUAUAAACUAUUAUUAAACUUAAUAAAUACUUAAUUUCUUUCA